GUGAGGAAUAUUGGUCAAUGGACGAGAGUCUGAACCAGCCAAGUAGCGUGAAGGAUGACUGCCCUAUGGGUUGUAAACUUCUUUUAUACGGGAAUAAAGUGAGGCACGUGUGCCUUUUUGUAUGUACCGUAUGAAUAAGGAUCGGCUAACUCCGUGCCAGCAGCCGCGGUAAUACGGAGGAUCCGAGCGUUAUCCGGAUUUAUUGGGUUUAAAGGGAGCGUAGGCGGACGCUUAAGUCAGUUGUGAAAGUUUGCGGCUCAACCGUAAAAUUGCAGUUGAUACUGGGUGUCUUGAGUACAGUAGAGGCAGGCGGAAUUCGUGGUGUAGCGGUGAAAUGCUUAGAUAUCACGAAGAACUCCGAUUGCGAAGGCAGCUUGCUGGACUGUAACUGACGCUGAUGCUCGAAAGUGUGGGUAUCAAACAGGAUUAGAAACCCCAGUAGUCCU
rnacentral:rRNA from 1 species